AGCGGCCGCGGUAAUACGGAGGGUGCGAGCGUUAAUCGGAAUUACUGGGCGUAAAGCGCAUGCAGGCGGCCUGUUAAGUCAGAUGUGAAAGCCCGGGGCUUAACCUCGGAAUUGCAUUUGAAACUGGCAGGCUAGAGUCUUGUAGAGGGGGUAGAAUUUCAGGUGUAGCGGUGAAAAUGCGUAGAGAUCUGAAGGAAUACCAGUGGCGAAGGCGGCCCCCUGGACAAAGACUGACGCUCAGAUGCGAAAGCGUGGGGAGCAAACAGGAUUAGACACCCUGUGG
rnacentral:rRNA from 1 species